AUGUGGCUCAGUUGGUAAAGUGUUUGCCUAGCAUACAAGAGGCCCUGGGUUCAAUUCCCAGCAU
rnacentral:tRNA from 1 species